AUUGAACGCUGGCGGCAUGCCUUACACAUGCAAGUCGAACGGCAGCACGGGAGCAAUCCUGGUGGCGAGUGGCGAACGGGUGAGUAAUAUAUCGGAACGUGCCCAGUCGUGGGGGAUAACGCAGCGAAAGCUGUGCUAAUACCGCAUACGAUCUAAGGAUGAAAGCGGGGGAUCGCAAGACCUCGCGCGAUUGGAGCGGCCGAUAUCAGAUUAGCUAGUUGGUGGGGUAAAGGCCCACCAAGGCGACGAUCUGUAGCUGGUCUGAGAGGACGACCAGCCACACUGGAACUGAGACACGGUCCAGACUCCUACGGGAGGCAGCAGUGGGGAAUUUUGGACAAUGGGCGCAAGCCUGAUCCAGCAAUGCCGCGUGCAGGAUGAAGGCCUUCGGGUUGUAAACUGCUUUUGUACGGAACGAAACGGCCCUUUCUAAUACAGGGGGCUAAUGACGGUACCGGAAGAAUAAGGACCGGCUAACUACGUGCCAGCCGCCGCGGUAA
rnacentral:rRNA from 1 species